AUUGAACGCUGGCGGAAUGCUUUACACAUGCGAGUCGAGCGGCAGCGCGGCCUUCGGGCUGGCGGCGAGCGGCGAACGGGUGAGUAAUGCAUCGGAACAUGCCCAGUCGUGGGGGAUAACACUUCGAAAGAAGUGCUAAUACCGCAUACGUCCUGAGGGGGAAAGCGGGGGAUCGCAAGACCUCGCGCGAUUGGAGUGGCCGAUGUCAGAUUAGCUAGUUGGUGGGGUAAAGGCCUACCAAGGCGACGAUCUGUAGCUGGUCUGAGAGGAUGAUCAGCCACACUGGGACUGAGACACGGCCCAGACUCCUACGGGAGGCAGCAGUGGGGAAUUUUGGACAAUGGGGGCAACCCUGAUCCAGCCAUUCCGCGUGAGUGAAGAAGGCCUUCGGGUUGUAAAGCUCUUUCGGCAGGAACGAAACGGUGGGCUCUAACAUAGUCCGCUAAUGACGGUACCUGAAGAAGAGGCACCGGCUAACUACGUG
rnacentral:rRNA from 1 species